CUGGCAUCUAAGACAGCAGGAGCUCCCUGCCAGGGAGAGAAGCUCUUGGAGCAUGAUGCAAGAAGCCUGACUGCAGUAAGCUGCCGGUUCUGCAUCAGCAAAGUCAAAGGAAGAAGGAGACCCAAGGAACUCCUUCUGUUUUCACAUUUUGAGCAGCUUAGACAUUGUGAUCCUUCCAUGUCAUAAUGGGCUGAUGCAGUGUCAAGUGGAAGAGGUCUCUGUUGCAGUGUUGUGGCUUCAAACUCUGAAGACA